GACGAACCGUGCGAACGUUGUUCGGAAUCACUGGGCUUAAAGGGCGCGUAGGCGGGUCGGCAAGUCUGCGGUGAAAGCCCCCAGCUUAACUGGGGAAGUGCCGUGGAUACUGCCGGUCUUGAGGAGGGUAGGGGCAUCUGGAACAUUGGGUGGAGCGGUGAAAUGCGUUGAUAUCCAAUGGAACUCCGGUGGCGAAGGCGAGGUGCUGGACCCUUUCUGACGCUGAGGCGCGAAAGCCAGGGGAGCAAACGGG
rnacentral:rRNA from 1 species